UACGUAGGGUGCAAGCGUUGUCCGGAAUUAUUGGGCGUAAAGAGCUCGUAGGCGGUUUGUCGCGUCUGCUGUGAAAACCCAGGGCUUAACCCUGGGCCUGCAGUGGGUACGGGCAAACUAGAGUGCGGUAGGGGAGAUCGGAAUUCCUGGUGUAGCGGUGAAAUGCGCAGAUAUCAGGAGGAACACCGGUGGCGAAGGCGGAUCUCUGGGCCGUAACUGACGCUGAGGUGCGAAAGCGUGGGGAGCAAACAGG
rnacentral:rRNA from 1 species